AGUAGUAUGCUUACACAUGCAAGUUGAACGGAUUUUUUCCGUAGCGAACGGGUGAGUAAACACAGAAUUUUACCUUUUAGUUUGGUACAAUUAUUUAUUUUUAUAAAUAAAAUUCUAAAUAGUCAAAGGUUACUUUUAUAGUAUUCCGCUAAAAGAUAAAUCUGUUUAAGAUUAGGUUGUUGGUAAUUUUAAAGCUUACCAAGCCUACGAUCUUUAGUUGAUCUGAGAGGAUGAUCAACCACACUGGAACUGAAACAAGGUCCAGGCUGACACGUCGGCCAGCAGUGAGGAAUAUUGGACAAUGAACGAAAGUUUGAUCCAGCAAUACUACCUGGGUGAUGACGGCUUGUUUAAGUUGUAAGAUCCUUUCAUUGAAGAAGAUAAUGACAUUAUUCAAUUGAAUUUAAGUCCUGGCUAAUACUCGUGCCAGCAGCCGCGGUAAUACGGGAAGGGCAAGCGUUAUCCGGCAUGACUGGGCGUAAAGAGUCCGUAAACUGUAAAGUAAGUUUUGUGUCAAAGAUUAAAACUUAAUUUUAAUUGCGCGCUUAAUACUGCUUUACUUCGAGUUUAAUGCAGAAAAGUG
rnacentral:rRNA from 1 species